rnacentral:rRNA from 1 species
CCUACGGGUGGCAGCAGUGGGGAAUAUUGCACAAUGGGCGCAAGCCUGAUGCAGCCAUGCCGCGUGUGUGAAGAGGGCCUUCGGGUUGUAAAGCACUUUCAGCGGGGAGGAAGGCGGUGAGGUUAAUAACCUCAUCGAUUGACGUUACCCGCAGAAGAAGCACCGGCUAACUCCGUGCCAGCAGCCGCGGUAAUACGGAGGGUGCAAGCGUUAAUCGGAAUUACUGGGCGUAAAGCGCACGCAGGCGGUCUGUCAAGUCGGAUGUGAAAUCCCCGGGCUCAACCUGGGAACUGCAUUCGAAACUGGCAGGCUAGAGUCUUGUAGAGGGGGGUAGAAUUCCAGGUGUAGCGGUGAAAUGCGUAGAGAUCUGGAGGAAUACCGGUGGCGAAGGCGGCCCCCUGGACAAAGACUGACGCUCAGGUGCGAAAGCGUGGGGAGCAAACAGGAUUAGAUACCCUAGUAGUC